GAGAGAUGAAUUUGAAGAUUACGUAUAUUUUAAAUAACAAAUUAAAAAAAAAAUAAAGACAUUGUGAAUAGUCAUAAUCGCCCUCAUUCAAAUUUAAUCUCUCUAUAAAUGGGAAAAUGCAAUCUUCAUAUACUACAUACAAUUAAGAAAAGAAAGGGAUAUAUAUCAUACAUAUAAAGAGAGAGAUGGAUUUCAAGAUUAAGGUAUUUGCACAAGAUCAGUUAUUCCUCUAUGUAAAUGUCUUGACGUUAAAUCAACAUGUCACCCAACUUGCGAAUCAUGUAAGUGUGUAGAACCUUUGAAGUGUACUUGUCUUGAUUUUAAUGAUUAUUAUAAUAAACUAUAUAAACGAUGUAGGUAAGAAUAAUGAGACAAGUAAUAGUAUUUUUAAUAAUUUCUAGACAAAGUCAUUUAGGCUUGUUUUCAACUAGGAGAAUGAAUAAUUAGAAUAAAAGCUAUUUGGAAGUGCAGUUUGUUUGCCUACAACAUUGCAUGCUAGCUGUGUCAAAAUAUUUUGUUUCUUUUGCAAUGGUGAAAAAAUGUAUGUUUUAAAUGAUUGUUUAUCAUAUACAUAAAAAUAUAUAUUUGAUAUAUAGUGUUGUAUAUGAAAAAAAUAUAUAUAACUUUAUAAUAUUAAGACACUAGUUUGUGUA